rnacentral:rRNA from 1 species
CCCUUAGAUGUUCUGGGCCGCACGCGCGCUACACUGACUGGUGCAACAAGUGUCGCUCCUUGGCCGAUAGGCCUGGGCAAUCUUUGAACGCCAGUCGUGAUGGGGAUAGAUUCUUGCAAUUUUUGAUCUUCAACGAGGAAUUCCUAGUAAACGCGAGUCAUCAACUCGCAUUGAUUACGUCCCUGCCCUUUGUACACACCGCCCGUCGCACCUACCGAUUGAAUGGUCCGGUGAAAUCUUCGGAUCUGAGAGAUGUCUGAUUAAUUUCGGACGCCUUUUGGAAAAGUUGCUUAAACCUUACCAUUUAGAGGAAGGUGAAGUCGUAACA